rnacentral:rRNA from 1 species
AGCAGCCGCGGUAAUUCCAGCUCCAAUAGCGUAUAUUAAAGUUGUUGCAGUUAAAAAGCUCGUAGUUGAAUUUCGGGAUCAGUUGGUCGGUCGUGCCUCGGUACGUACUGGUCAAAUUGAUUCCUACCUUCUGACGAACCACGAUGUCAUUAAUUUGGUGUCGCGGGAAAUCAGGACUGUUACUUUGAAAAAAUUAGAGUGUUUAAAGCAGGCUCGCGCUUGAAUACAUUAGCAUGGAAUAAUGAAAUAGGACGUUUGAUUCUAUUUUGUUGGUUUCUAGGAUCGACGUAAUGAUUAAUAGGGAUAGUUGGGGGCAUUAGUAUUCAAUUGUCAGAGGUGAAAUUCUUGGAUUUAUUGAAGACUAACUACUGCGAAAGCAUUUGCCAAGGAUGUUUUCAUUAAUCAAGAACGAAAGUUAGGGGAUCGAAGACGAUCAGAUACCGUCGUAGUCUUAACCAUAAACUAUGCCGACUAGGGAU